rnacentral:rRNA from 1 species
GACUUAAACCGUUCGGCUAAAACGGAGGAAGGGACGAGGCCGGUACCACGGGUCGGGNUCGCGACUGGGGGUG